rnacentral:sRNA from 1 species
CCCAAGUCCCAGACGCUACCCAUGGAGGCGUCCAGCGAGCCGCGGCUGGAUGCUAAGUCCGAGGUCACCAACCAGUAUUAAAAUGAAGAUACUUUAUUUAAAUAUGACCAGCGUUGAAACUAAAAGUUGAGUGUAACUGCAGUAAAAUUGAAUAAUAUCUGCAUUCCAGAAUUUCUACAGACAGUUCAAGGAAAUUGCUGCAGUUAUUGAAACGGUGUGAAGACGGAUUCUUUGGUUGAUAAAUUGCUGUCAUUCUAAAGUCAGGGACUUCACUUUCUGCAACAAAACCAAAUAAGGAUGGAACAUUUAUUGAAUGAAAAAUGCACUUUUGUUUUUCCAUUUUUUUAAAUAAUAAAAAUCAGACAAACAGGAA